AAAAAGUUUGACACUACGUAGAAGUUCUCGGCAGAGUAGAGACAAAGCACUAGCAGAGCAAGAGUAUGAGCAGAGCUCCAUAGCCGAAACUUCAAGUUUUUUUCGUGAAUUCAAGAGUCGAAACUGAAAAAUCGGUAUGGUACGAAAUCGACCAAAUUCAAAAAUUGGGUAUUUUAUGGUACUUAAUUGGGUACUAUACGGAAUCAGACCGAAAAUUGAAAAAAAUAGGGUCGCCUGGAAGGUGGCGGCUGCAGUCACCGGAGUGGCGUCGACGACGGGUUUCGUGUUCAUGUUCGAGAUUGAGGAGCUUUAGCUAUUGCUUGUCUUGGAGGAUGACAUAGUUGGUCUUCUUCGUUGUUUAUUUUUUUGCGUUGUUUAGUUUUCCGCGUGUCGCUCUGAUAGUGUAACAUAGGGUUGAGAAUAUCUUAUUUUGUUUUUUUUAUAGUUGUUGAAGUAACUAUUUUAUGAUUAAAUGAAGUUGAUUUCUAUUUAUGAGACAA